rnacentral:rRNA from 1 species
AUUGAACGCUGGCGGCAGGCCUAACACAUGCAAGUCGAACGAGUGGCGGACGGGUGAGUAAUGUCUGGGAAACUGCCCGAUGGAGGGGGAUAACUACUGGAAACGGUAGCUAAUACCGCAUACCAUCGGAUGUGCCCAGAUGGGAUUAGCUUGUAGGUGAGGUAACGGCUCACCUAGGCGACGAUCCCUAGCUGGUCUGAGAGGAUGACCAGCGACCCGGGAACGGAGACACGUGCCAGACGACUACGGGAGGCAGCAGUGGUGAAUAUUGAAAAAUGGGCGCAAGCCUGAUGCAGCCAUGCCGCGUGUAUGAAGAAGGCCUUCGGGUUGUAAAGUAAUUUCAGCGGGGAGGCGUGACCCGCAGAAGAAGCACCGGCUAACGCCGUGCCAGAAGCCGCGUUAAUAC